rnacentral:tRNA from 1 species
GCCCGGGUGACGGAAUCGGUAGACGUGGCGGACUUAAACUCCGCUGCCCCCAAAGGGGCGUGUGGGUUCGAAUCCCACCCCGGGCACCA